rnacentral:ncRNA from 1 species
CUGACAUGUGUGCGAUUCAAUGUUCGAGUAAACCCAUAAGACGCAAGGAAGAUGAUUGGUGGGAUCCCCCUGAGGGGUGCAUCGCCGACCGACCUUGAUCUUUUGAGAAUGGUUCUAGUGUGAGCAUACUUAUCGGGACCCAAAAGAUGGUGAACUAGGCCUGAGCUGGGCGAAGCCAUAGGAAACUUUGGUGGAGGCCCACAGUGAUAUUGACGUGUAAAUCGUUCGUCUGACUUGCGUGCACCACAUGCUAAGUGCACGGAUUCAC